UUAAUUCUUGCUGAAAUUGAUCGAAAUAUCGAGGAGGAAACUACUUCAGGGAUGAUGAUGAGAGCAUGGAGGAGUCUGAGGAUGAAUCCUUGCAAAAUAUCGUUUAGCUUGCUUCAAUUUCCAAGUAUGGUUUUCUUUGCAGGAUGAAUCCUUGCACAGUGCUGAUGUGGGUAACAACAACAACCGCCAGCUCUAGUGGUGGUGGCAGUUACUACUACUCUCCAACCACCACCAGCUCAAUCCGGGGGUAACAACAACAACAACUAUACUCCCCCGCCGCCGGGUGGUCUCAUUGGCGGCAUGUAUUACCCUCCACCAACGUACAAAAACUACCCAACACCGCCACCUCCGAACCCCAUUGUUCCUUACUUCCCAUUUUAUCACCACACUCCUCCCCCUCCUUCAAGUUCUGAAAAGCUGUUAGCUUGUCUGGUUUCAACCCUUGUUUCGUUGUUCGGUUGUUUCCUUUAUGUCUUUUGAGUUUUUGACAUUAAAAGCUUAAAAGAGGGUGAAAAAAUAAGGUGGCAAAUUAGCAGAUCUGGAGAAAACUUCUACUGCUAAGAGGAAGAAAAUUAAGGGAGCUACUUCAAUGCUUUCAUGAUGAAAUGGAACUGAGAAUCUAAAGAUAUAUGGAGUAAUCUUUCUCUUUGUUCUCAUGUUCUCAUGUUCUCUUUUUUUUUUUUUUUUUUUUUUUUUUUUU
rnacentral:lncRNA from 1 species